CGAGCGGUAGCACAGGGGAGCUUGCUCCCUGGGUGACGAGCGGCGGACGGGUGAGUAAUGUCUGGGAAACUGCCUGAUGGAGGGGGAUAACUACUGGAAACGAUAGCUAAUACCGCAUAACGUCGCAAGACCAAAGAGGGGGACCUUCGGGCCUCUUGCCAUCAGAUGUGCCCAGAUGGGAUUAGCUAGUAGGUGGGGUAAUGGCUCACCUAGGCGACGAUCCCUAGCUGGUCUGAGAGGAUGACCAGCCACACUGGAACUGAGACACGGUCCAGACUCCUACGGGAGGCAGCAGUGGGGAAUAUUGCACAAUGGGCGCAAGCCUGAUGCAGCCAUGCCGCGUGUGUGAAGAAGGCCUUCGGGUUGUAAAGCACUUUCAGCGAGGAGGAAGGUGGUGAACUUAAUACGUUCAUCAAUUGACGUUACUCGCAGAAGAAGCACCGGCUAACUCCGUGCCAGCAGCCGCGGUAAUACGGAGGGUGCAAGCGUU
rnacentral:rRNA from 1 species